UUAAGUUCAGCGGGUAGUCCUACCUGAUUUGAGGUCAAUUUUGUCAAAGAGAUUUCCUCUCAUUCAUUAGAAGCAGUGUAAUCUGUUUCAUGCAGUGUGCUUAAAGGCAUAGACAGUUAUCAACACCUGUAGUAAGCUUUCUCUGCUCAGAUACCACUAAUACAUUUCAGGGGAGCAGACUUAAUAUUCCAAAGCCUGCA
rnacentral:misc_RNA from 1 species